rnacentral:rRNA from 1 species
CCUACGGGUGGCAGCAGUGGGGAAUAUUGGACAAUGGGCGAAAGCCUGAUCCAGCCAUGCCGCGUGUGUGAAGAAGGCCUUCGGGUUGUAAAGCACUUUCAGUGGGGAAGAAAGCCUUGGGGCUAAUACCCUCGAGGAAGGACAUCACCCACAGAAGAAGCACCGGCUAACUCCGUGCCAGCAGCCGCGGUAAUACGGAGGGUGCGAGCGUUAAUCGGAAUUACUGGGCGUAAAGCGCGCGGAGGCGUGCUGAUAAGCCGGUUGUGAAAGCCCCGGGCUCAACCUGGGAACGGCAUCCGGAACUGUCAGGCUAGAGUGCAGGAGAGGAAGGUAGAAUUCCCGGUGUAGCGGUGAAAUGCGUAGAGAUCGGGAGGAAUACCAGUGGCGAAGGCGGCCUUCUGGACUGACACUGACGCUGAGGUGCGAAAGCGUGGGUAGCAAACAGGAUUAGAUACCCGGUAGUC